rnacentral:rRNA from 1 species
CAGCCGCCGCGGUAAUACGGAGGUUGCGAGCGUUAUCCGGAUUCACUGGGUUUAAAGGGUGCGUAGGCGGGUUGGUAAGUCAGUGGUUAAAGCCCUCAGCUUAACUGAGGAAAUGCCAUUGAUACUGCCAGCCUAGAGUGUGGUUGAGGUGACUGGAAUGUGUCAUGUAGCGGUGAAAUGCGUAGAUAUGACACAGAACACCGAUGGCGAAGGCAGGUCACCAAGCCAUCACUGACGCUGAGGCACGAAAGCGUGGGGAGCAAACAGGAUUAGAUACCCUGGUAGUCCACGCCCUAAACGAUGGAUACUCGCUAUUGGCCCAUCAGGGUCAGUGGCUAAGCGAAAGCGUUAAGUAUCCCACCUGGGGAGUACGGCCGCAAGGUUGAAACUUAAAGGAAUUGGCGGG